UACAGAGGUCCCAAGCGUUGUUCGGAUUCACUGGGCGUAAAGAGCGCGCAGGCGGUCGUUCAAGUCCCGCGUGAAAUCCCCCGGCUCAACUGGGGAACUGCGCGGGAAACUGUAGGGCUUGAGUUCGGGAGAGGGAAGCGGAAGUUCCGGGUGUAGCGGUGAAAUGCGUAGAUAUCCGGAGGAACACCUGUGGCGAAGGCGGCUUUCUGGGCCUUACCUGACGCUGAGACGCGAAAGCGUGGGGAGCGAACCGG
rnacentral:rRNA from 1 species